UACGUAGGGGGCAAGCGUUGUCCGGAAUCAUUGGGCGUAAAGCGCGUGUAGGCGGCCCGGUAAGUCCGCUGUGAAAGUCCAGGGCUCAACCCUGGGAUGCCGGUGGAUACUGUCGGGCUCGAGUCCGGAAGAGGAGUGUGGAAUUCCUGGUGUGGCGGUGAAAUGCGCAGAUAUCAGGAGGAACACCAAUGGCGAAGGCAGCACUCUGGGACGUGACUGACGCUGAGACGCGAAAGCGUGGGGAGCAAACAGG
rnacentral:rRNA from 1 species